rnacentral:rRNA from 1 species
UACAGAGGUCCCAAGCGUUGUUCGGAUUCACUGGGCGUAAAGGGUGCGUAGGUGGCCGGGUAAGUCUGACGUGAAAUCCCUCGGCUUAACUGAGGAACUGCACGAGAUACUGCGAGACUUGAGAUCGGGAGAGGGAAGCGGAAUUCCGGGUGUAGCGGUGAAAUGCGUAGAUAUCCGGAGGAACACCGGUGGCGAAGGCGGCUUCCUGGACCGACACUGACGCUGAGGCGCGAAAGCUAGGGGAGCAAACGGG